rnacentral:rRNA from 1 species
CAGCAGUGGGGGAAUAUUGCACAAUGGGCGCAAGCCUGAUGCAGCCAUGCCGCGUGUAUGAAGAAGGACCUUCGGGUUGUAAAGUACUUUCAGCAGUGAGGAAGGUGGAUAUGUUAAUAGCAUAUUCAUUUGACGUUAGCUGCAGAAGAAGCACCGGCUAACUCCGUGCCAGCAGCCGCGGUAAUACGGAGGGUGCGAGCGUUAAUCGGAAUUACUGGGCGUAAAGCGCAUGCAGGUGGUUUGUUAAGUCAGAUGUGAAAGCCCGGGGCUCAACCUCGGAAUUGCAUUUGAAACUGGCAAACUAGAGUACUGUAGAGGGGGGUAGGAAUUUCAGGUGUAGCGGUGAAAUGCGUAGAGAUCUGAAGGAAUACCGGUGGCGAAGGCGGCCCCCUGGACAGAUACUGACACUCAGAUGCGAAAGCGUGGGGAGCAAACAGGAUUAGAUACCCUGGUAG